rnacentral:piRNA from 1 species
GACACCCCAGUCUGUGCAUACUUUUUU